GUGCCAGCCGCCGCGGUAAUACGUAGGGUGCGAGCGUUGUCCGGAAUUAUUGGGCGUAAAGAGCUCGUAGGCGGUGUGUCGCGUCGAUCGUGAAAACUUUCAGCUUAACUGGGAGCUUGCGGUCGAUACGGGCAUCACUUGAGUUCGGCAGGGGAGACUGGAAUUCCUGGUGUAGCGGUGAAAUGCGCAGAUAUCAGGAGGAACACCGGUGGCGAAGGCGGGUCUCUGGGCCGAUACUGACGCUGAGGAGCGAAAGCGUGGGGAGCGAACAGGAUUAGAUACCCCGGUAGUCC
rnacentral:rRNA from 1 species